rnacentral:rRNA from 1 species
AGAGUUUGAUCCUGGCUCAGGAUGAACGCUGGCGGCAUGCCUAAUACAUGCAAGUCGAACGAGAGACCUUCGGGUCUCUAGUGGCGAACGGGUGAGUAACACGUAGGGAACCUGCCCGUGCGACCGGGAGAACUUUCGGAAACGGAAGCUGAUACCGGAUAGGGACAGAGACGGCAUCGACUCUGUGUUAAAGGAGCUGAAAGGCUCCGCGCACGGAUGGACCUGCGGUGCAUUAGCUGGUUGGUGAGGUAACGGCCCACCAAGGCGACGAUGCAUAGCCGGCCUGAGAGGGCGGACGGCCACACUGGGACUGAGACACGGCCCAGACUCCUACGGGAGGCAGCAGUAGGGAAUUUUCGUCAAUGGGCGCAAGCCUGAACGAGCAAUGCCGCGUGAACGAGGAAGGUCUUCGGAUCGUAAAGUUCUGUUGAAGGGGAAAAAGAGCGGAGAGAGGAAAUGGUCUCCGAUUGAUAUUACCCUUCGAGGAAGUCACGGCUAACUACGUGCCAGCAGCCGCGGUAAUACGUAGGUGGCGAGCGUUAUCCGGAAUGAUUGGGCGUAAAGGGUGCGUAGGCGGCCUGCUAAGUCUGGAGUGAAAGGUACCGGCUCAACCGGUACAGGCUCUGGAAACUGGCGGGCUAGAGAGCAGGAGAGGGCGGUGGAACUCCAUGUGUAGCGGUAAAAUGCGUAGAUAUAUGGAAGAACACCAGUGGCGAAGGCGGCCGCCUGGCCUGUUACUGACGCUGAGGCACGAAAGCGUGGGGAGCAAAUAGGAUUAGAUACCCUAGUAGUCCACGCCGUAAACGAUGAGGACCAAGUGUUGGGGAAGACCCAGUGCUGCAGUUAACGCAGUGAGUCCUCCGCCUGGGGAGUAUGCACGCAAGUGUGAAACUCAAAGGAAUUGACGGGGGCCCGCACAAGCGGUGGAGUAUGUGGUUUAAUUCGAAGCAACGCGAAGAACCUUACCAGGCCUUGACAUAGGGUGCGAAGCUGUGGAGACAUAGUGGAGGUAAACAUCCAUACAGGUGGUGCAUGGUUGUCGUCAGCUCGUGUCGUGAGAUGUUCAGUUAAGUCUGGCAACGAGCGCAACCCUCGUGAUGUGUUACCAAUAUCGAGUUAGGGACUCACAUCAGACUGCCGGUGAGAAACCGGAGGAAGGCGGGGAUGACGUCAAAUCAUCAUGCCCCUUAUGGCCUGGGCUACACACGUACUACAAUGGCGGCGACAGAGGGCAGCGAGCCUGCGAAGGCAAGCGAAUCCCAAAAAAGCCGUCCCAGUUCGGAUUGGAGUCUGCAACCCGACUCCAUGAAGUUGGAAUCGCUAGUAAUCGCGGAUCAGCAUGCCGCGGUGAAUACGUUCUCGGGCCUUGUACUCACCGCCCGUCA